GGUGCGGGGGGCGCUGCGGGUGGCGCGGGUCGGCUUCACGGGCUGAGCGCCGGUACGGCGAAGGGCCCGGCACCGAACGCGUCGGUGCCGGGCCUC
rnacentral:tRNA from 1 species